rnacentral:rRNA from 1 species
UCGAACGGCAGCGAGGAGAAGCUUGCUUCUCUGUCGGCGAGUGGCGAACGGGUGAGUAUAGCAUCGGAACGUGCCAAGUAGUGGGGGAUAACCAAACGAAAGUUUGGCUAAUACCGCGUAAGCUCCAAGGAGGAAAGUAGGGGACCUAAAUAAGGCCUUACGCUAUUUGAUCGGCCGAUGUCGGAUUAGCUAGUUGGUGGGGUAAUGGCUCACCAAGGCAAUGAUCCGUAGCGGGUCUGAGAGGACGAUCCGCCACACUGGGACUGAGACACGGCCCAGACUCCUACGGGAGGCAGCAGUGGGGAAUUUUGGGCAAUGGGGGAAACCCUGAUCCAGCCAUGCCGCGUGUAUGAAGAAGGCCUUAGGGUUGUAAAGUACUUUUGUUAGGGAAGAAAAGCUAGUUUUUAAUAAAAAUUAGUGAUGACGGUACCUAAAGAAUAAGCACCGGCUAACUACGUGCCAGCAGCCGCGGUAAUACGUAGGGUGCAAGCGUUAAUCGGAAUUAUUGGGCGUAAAGCGAGUGCAGACGGUUACUUAAGCCAGAUGUGAAAUCCCCAAGCUUAACUUGGGACGUGCAUUUGGAACUGGGUGACUAGAGUGUGUCAGAGGGAGGUAGAAUUCCACAUGUAGCGGUGGAAUGCGUAGAGAUGUGGAGGAAUACCGAUGGCGAAGGCAGCCUCCUGGG